rnacentral:rRNA from 1 species
GUAAUUGUCCUUCCGUGAGUGACACUUAUAGAAGCCUUUGCAGCCCCAAAAGGGCGUCCGCGACUCUAAACAAGAAAGCAAGUAGCUAAUUAGCUGCAACAUGAUCGAAUUGCGGGGAUCUCCUAAAGCCUUAAGGUACUAACUUAUGUCGCGAAAGUGCGUAAGGGCCCGUGUUAACUGCACGGGGUACAGUAAUAAUCCUUUCGGAUACUUGGAUGGUGUAAAAAGCCUCUGAAUCAUGGAAAAUCCGCAGCGAAGCCCCUACACCUGGGGACCGUUCACAGACUAAGUGAUUAUGGGUGUUGAGGAGCAUACUCUACAACGCUUAAGAUAUAGUCGGGCCCUGGAAGAAAUUUCAGGGGUGAAGUCACUUCACAUCAAAUAAACCGUUCCGUAGGUGAACCUGCGGAAGGAUCAUUA